rnacentral:lncRNA from 1 species
CUUUGUUAUCCUGGAGAGCAAUGAAAAUUUCCAGCAAGACCAAAUUCACUGCAGGUCAGAGGGACAGACUCUGCUCCACGUGGUCACGUGAAGACCUAGGCUCCUUCCAUACUGUGGCUGUACAUCUCUCAAAAGUGGCUGGGAGUUUGCUUGGUCUCCGCCAUCUGGAGUCAAUGACAAGAGAAGACAUGAAGAAGGCACAUCUGUCUUAACUGUUUGUGAGCAGAGGUGAAAAAAAAUUGCGAGAUGCCUAGAAAACAAAGUGUAGAUUUGUACCUAGGAAGAGGGAAUGCAUUGGGUGAGUGUGUACCCAUCUCUGUCAUGUAGCGUGGGAAGGGAUGGACACUGGAAAGGGCGAGCUUUCUCCCGCGGGUGUGGGAUGGGGUGCGUGGUGCUGGGGAACAAACGGAAAAUGUUGUGUGUGUUCUAAUUCUUUCCGAAACUAUAGCAGUGUUACAAGCUUUAUCUCUGUGCUAAAUUUUGGCCAUUUGGGUUGGCAGAUUUUUCCUGUGGUAACCCUUUUACAUCGUGGCAAGGAUUUUCUGGUCUGAUUCAUGUAAACUCCUUCCCGCUUUUGUGAUCCCUGGCUAGCAGCUGGUGAAGCCUUUGCCGUCUGUUUGGUACACAUACUCUUCCAAAUAUCCGUAAGGUACUGACUUACGAGACCAAGAUCUGGGAAUAGAUGGAGCCUCAGCCUCUUCCUGAAUAGCACGGGUUGGUGUGGCUGGAAGUAAGACAUUUUGGUGCAAAACUCUCUCUCUGAAUGUACAUAGGUACAAGUUAAGUCUGAGGUUCAACUGAGGGCCUUCCAGGAAAGAGCACGUGAGGAGGACAGAGGCACUUACUGAGGACUUUAAACUAAAAACAGCAACAUUCAUGGGUGAGAAGGAGCUGGAUUCAGACCUGGCUGUUUCAAAGGAUUCUGAGGCUGAAAUGACU